AAAAAAAAAAAAAAAAAAAAACUGCGAGCAGGGUGGUGGGGGUUCUGCCUUCUACAGACCCACAUCCCGAGGUCUGUGUCUCAUCUGUCAUUGGGGGUAUUCUGAAGGAAAGGAAGAGAAGCCUGGUUUACAUCUAAUCUGGGGAUCAGGCUGUUGUGUGAGGUAGUUCAGUGGCUGAUCAGGGCCGGGCAGCCAGAGCCACACGGUGAUGAGCUUCACAGAGCCUGUGAGUGAGUGUGGACUGUACUCAGUAGGUAGAGGAGAGUCCCUGGCAGCUGCCCAGACAAGGUGACUAUGCUGCUUAAGCUGCACUGUGAUCCUCACUACACGGACUUGCUGUCUGGACAACAUAACUAAAGCACAGUACUGACCUAGUCAUUCCCCUGCUCAAGACUCUCAGGGGCUUCUUGUGGCUGCUGAAUGAAGUCCGAAUUAUAUGCAAACCUGGGCUGCAAUGUGGAGAAUGGAUUGCAAGCAACAAGACUGACGGUAUAAGUAUCUGAGGCUACUAUACCACUUGUUGAUGAAAUGAAUAGUUGAAGCAGCCAGUUCAGCCUGUGAUAUAAGGUUUUUUUUGCAGGGGUCUCUGUGCUUUGAGAUGUGUUCUAGGAGAGAGAAAGGAACCAUCAGAGAGAGUGGGUGCAGCCUUGAGUCAUGUUGAGAAGCUGGCGUCCUUCAGUUUUCUCGUCCUGGUAAGCGUUUUUCAGGUCUGCUGGGUUUUGGCACCUAUCAGCAA
rnacentral:lncRNA from 1 species